CUCCGGAACUGUGUUUAAAACUUUAAAAACCGUGUUUUCUGAUCGGACUGAGAAGUGACAAAAGCUGUCGGAUUUGGUGGAACAGUGGGUGAAUUUCCUUAAGUAAUAGGAUCUGGCACUUCAUCUAAGAAGAAAUAGUAGUUUGUAUGUUAUAUGUCCAAGAAACAGUCCAUCCAUGGGAGUGAACAGCAAAAGCUUUGUUGCUUUCAGUGGAGACAAGGUCAAGGCCAGAGUAAUCCAGUGACCGAUCUCCUGUUACUCCUCCAGCUGGUCCUGAAUCUUCACAGGAGUACCACAUAAAGCGUGGUGUAUGUGGGGAUAGCCAUGGCGUAUUUAACUUAAGGGUCACACUUGAAAGCAGUGGAACGAGGGGUGUCCGUAUGAGCAAGUUAACGUAAAAGAGCAAGUUAACGUAAAAGACCAAUCCAAAAAGAAGCGCUUCAACUCAUUUAUUUAUUUAUUUAUUUAUUUUCUGUGUGACUCCUAAUGUCUUUGCAUUCUGCAAGAGCUGCUGAGAAACCCAAGCACCUCAGUUCUUUGUACCUUCUACCGCCGGAACACUGGUGUUCGUUGUACCUGAUGCUGGCUCCCAGUGAACGCAUUUUAAUUGUAAUAAAACACAAACCGAACCAUA